UAAUUGUUGAGUUUAGAUAAAUGACGUUUUUUCGAAUGUUGAUUUGUAAAUCUAUUCUAUGUGAUGUAAAUGUCCGCUCCUCACCUGUUUUGGAUAAAACAAUGUCUCUCGUCGAUUAAUACAAGCUAACUUUCGCUAAAAUCAACCAACAAACAAACAUUUUCUACCCAAAACUAUGUAAGCCUUGAGUUCUCUAUUGCACCCGGAGAUACAUAGGAGAAGGAUUUGUAAAUCUUGUCAGGCACAUUAAUAAAAAAAAUCAGGUUUAGUUCCUUUCUUCGCACAUUAGUAAAAAAUCAAAAAACAUUUUCACUUUUCUUUUU
rnacentral:lncRNA from 1 species